GAUGAAGAACACAGCGAAAUGCGAUAAGUAAUGUGAAUUGCAGAAUUCAGUGAAUCAUCGAAUCUUUGAACGCACAUUGCGCCCGUCAGUAUUCUGGCGGGCAUGCCUGUUCGAGCGUCAUUACGCCCCUCAAGUCCCCUGUGGACUUGGUGUUGGGGAUCGGCGAGGCUGGUUUUCCAGCACAGCCGUCCCUUAAAUUAAUUGGCGGUCUCGCCGUGGCCCUCCUCUGCGCAGUAGUAAAACACUCGCAACAGGAGCCCGGCGCGGUCCACUGCCGUAAAACCCCCCAACUUUUUAUAGUUGACCUCGAAUCAGGUAGGACUCCCCGCUGAACUUAAGCAUAUCAAUAAGCGGAGGA
rnacentral:misc_RNA from 1 species